rnacentral:misc_RNA from 1 species
UACGAUAAACACAGUGUACAGGUAUAUACGGUAGUCUAAAAUUACAUUACACCGACAAACAGGAACACAAAAGAUGUAAGUCACGUGAUCUGAAAUUACUUCCUUAUUGAGAGAAAUGUAGUUGACGUUUUGUGGUUUGCGUUACACAAUGGAUGAGAGAGCGGUUCAGCUGCAGAAAAACUUGUCAAAGUUCAUCAACCAUGUUGACGAACUUACUAACGAGGACGACCCGGCGGGGAACGGUUUCAACCGCGAGUAUAGGGACCUACGUGAGAUAGCAGCACAACACAAGGAGAAUAACACAUUCUCCUCAACAGCUGGGAGGGAGCCGCACAACCUGAGGAAAAACCGAUACAAGGACAUCAUUGCCUAUGACUACUCCCGAGUUAAGCUGCAGGACACUGGUGAGGAGGGAUCAGAUUACAUCAACGCCAACCUCAUUCAGGACCCCUAUGAUAAGGACGGCUACAUCGCCUCCCAGGGUCCCCUGCCCAACACUGUGAAUGAUUUCUGGAGAAUGAUUAUGGAGAAUAGGGUCAAAGUGGUUAUAAUGGCCUGUAAACUCAUAGAGGGUAACAAGAAAAAAUGUGCGGUCUAUUGGCCUGAGUUGGUUGGAGAUGAGGAAGACUAUGGAAAUGUCACUGUCACAAUGACAAAUGAGAGUGAUAUGAAGGAAGACUGUACUGUGAGGGUAUUUGAAGCAUCGUACGGUGACCAGUCCCACCAAGUUACACAGUACCACUACACGGGUUGGCCCGACCACGGCAUCCCCGAGGACCGUAAUGUUAUCCUAGCCAUGGUCGCCAAGAUGAGAGACAUUCGCCACAAGGAUGCAGAAAAAGCCCCAAUAUUGGUCCACUGCAGUGCUGGUUGUGGACGAACUGGAACAGUUUGUGCUAUUGACUAUGCCUGGGAGCUUCUAAGGGGUGGGAAACUGACUGCAGACUUUGAGUUGAAGCAGAUUGUGGAGGCGAUGAGAGAACAGCGUCAGUCCAUGAUACAAACACCGGACCAGUAUGAAAUGGCACACCUAGCUGUUAGAGACUUGUUCCAGAAACACCUUGAAAUCAUGGAGGAAAACAUCUACAUGAAUUAUGGGGAUGACAUUGAAGAGCAAGAUGCCCUGGAUAGCCUACACAUGGUUACCGAUUCUGUGAGCGAUUCUUCUACGACCAGAGAUGACGAAGAAGAUAUUUAUUCAUCAGCAGUCAAAGUUUUACAUGACAGCUUGAUGGACACUGUUAACAUGUAUACAACUAAUGAGGAGGAGAUACCUGGCGAUAUUUUACAGCCCAUAGUUCAAACUCCUUCACCAAAACCUCCACUUCCAUCAACAACCAAACCUGCCCCUCCCGCAGAUAAACCAGGAGUACCUUCAAAGGACAUUAGCUUGACAGGCAAUCUUAAUGAGGACAAGAAGCCAGAUGUGAAACAUAAGUACCAGAAUGUGGGCGUGGCUGCUACUUCGUAUGAGAAUAUGGAUUUAGUAGUGGUAAAAGAAGAGGAAAGCUCUAAUAUAUCAAAAUCUACACCACCCCAGGGCAGUAAAUUUUCCCCACAGAUAAUAAAGAAAAUGACCCCCCCUUUAUCUCCUGUUAAAAAACAGCAAACUGGCCCGAUAUUUACAGGGAAACAGGCAGAAGGCUCUGUGAUAACAGGGAAAAAAUCAGACAGUCCUGUGGAAACAGAUACCUCUGGUACCUCUUUUUAUUCUGUGGCAAGUGAUGAACCUUCUAAACCAGGUUCCUCUGGUCUACAAUCUGGACCAACUUCCGCACCCUCUGGACCUUCUUGGUCUCCCGCACCAUCGAAGCAAAAGCCAAAGUCAGUCAGCACCCCACCACUGGCAACUAAAUUUCCAAAGGAAUCCGUCUUACAGACCCAAACUAUUCCAAGUGUCAAACAAACACAUGUACCUUCAACAGGGGCAAAAGCCCCAGCAAGCAAUGGCAAACAUGUUACAAAAAUCACAGUGGGCGGGGCAAUGACAUCUGCGCCAAGUAAUAAAACGGCUACAGAAACAAACAACAACUUGUUCUCAGUAGCAACUAACUCAAGAGAUGAGAAACCCAGUGGACCUAGUACAGGAGGAGACGUUUAUUCAGAGGUUCAGAGAAAUAAUAAAGAGUCUUCUUCCUCCAUCAAGAGGUCAAGUAAACGUCAAUCAAAACCUACUCAAGCCCCACAACAGGAUGUAUACUCGCAAGUUAGUCGUCCAACUGAAAUCGCUUUUAAAGGUCAUAUUCUGGGCGGGGAUGGAUCUUACUCUGAUGUGGUGAUAGGACAGCCUGCUAAUGUUGAUGACAGCCUGUACUCCUAUGUAGCGGUGAAUCCUUCAUCUCCUGAUGCUGCCCCACCAGAGGUUCCAAAUCGACGCUACCUUGAUCCCCCACAAGAACCCCCACCGAGAGGUCCGGUUCAUACAGAUACUAGCAAUGCAACACUCAAUAAGGGUGCAUCUCUUACUGAACAGAAUCGAUUCAAAGGUUUGAUCACCAAGCAAUUUGACACAUUAAACAAAAUGAUAAAGGGUGGCACUACAGAUCACCAGUACACUGAUACUAGUAAUAUCAAAGGAUUCCAUGAGAGGAUAGGCCAGAAGCCAAUGGGAAAGAGAGAGGAACCGUCACGAUGGAAGAAAAUAUUUAAAAAAGUUAAAUAACUGCGAACAGUCCUUUUAUAUCACAAGUCUUUCAAAUCCACGAGUUUAUACCAUAUCCUGUUGUAUUACCUAAAAUAGCAGAUUUCAUUAUUCCAUUUUUUUUUGUAUUGUGUUUGUGAAAUAGUUCUAUAAUUAUGUAAAUUGUAUUGCAUAUGUUUUUUUCUUUAAGAUUAAGUAACAGAAUGUAAGGACCAAAAUAUAUGCCUUGCAUGUUUAUUUACAUGUUUAUUUACAUGUUUAUUUGCAAUACAAAUGUUGAAACAAAUUUUCUUCUAUCUUCCGUUUGUGUAAGCUGAAGCUGAAAUGUUCAUAAUCUCGUUGACAUUAGUUGAAAUGUGCCUUAUCUCCCUUGGUGUGAGUUGAAAUGUGUUAUCUCCCUUGGUGUUAGGUGAAAUGUGCCUUAUCUCCCUUGGUGUUAGGUGAAAUGUGCCUUCUCUCCCUUGGUGUUAGGUGAAAUGUGCCUUAUCUUCCUUGGUGUUAGGUGAAAUGUGCCUUAUCUUCCUUGGAGGAAUGUGAAAUGUGUUAUCUCCCUUGGUGUGAGGUGAAAUGUGUUAUCUUCCUUGGUGUUAGGUGAAAUGUGCCCUAUCUUCCUUGGAGUAAUGUGAAAUGUGUUAUCUCCCUUGGUGUAAGGUGAAAUGUGUUAUCUUCCUUGGUGUUUGGCGAAAUGUGCCUUAUCUCCCUUGGUGUUUGGCGAAAUGUGCCUUAUCUCACUUGGUGUUUGGUGAAAUGUGCCAUGUUGCUUUUGACAUAAGCUGAGCAAUGCCUAUUUUAUAUAUAAAAUAUCAUGCAGUUUACAAUAGCACUAUAUUUCAAUGAUAGAAGUGAAUAAUAACUCAUGCUUGUAAUAUUUAUAACUAUAUAUAGACAAUACAGGAUGUAAAAACAUAGUGGCAGGUACAAUUAUAUAUCAAGGAUAACCAAUUCAAUAAACCAGUAUGAAUAGAGAGGUUAGUGUUAACAUAUGUGAAAAAAUAUGUGAAAAAAUCUACAUAUGUAAAAUGUAUUCAUUCCUUUAUCAGUAUAUUAUCCAUUAAAAAAGUUUAUAAACUUUUUAAUAAGCCAUUGUACUUAAAUAAUUUAGAGUCUGUACUAUUAGCCAUUUUUUACAAACUGGUAUUCUCAAAAUUUGCACAUCAAAUGGUAAAACAACUUUUGAAACCUGCAAUAUUCUUGUGUCAUUGAAUGGGUGAAAUAUGUAUAAGCUUAUUUAGAAUAAUGGAAUACAACAAAACAAUAUAGAAAACAAUAGAGAAAUGGAAAGUGUAAUCCGGUCAAUAUGCUCAGGUAAAAUGUUAAAUGAGUACUGAGUAUGAGUGUUGUAUCUGGCAAGUGUACAGCAUAUUAAAUCUCCGACCUAAGAUUAAAUUGGGUAAUGUACAAAAUUAUAUCUGAUAUAUUGAAAGGAAAUUUUAAAAGCAAAGUUGGAUUGAUGUUUGUAAAACAUAUGCUUGUUUGAAAUGUUAUUGUUUGGUAAUUGUGUUUGUUGUGUGUAAAUUAAGUGUAAUGUAUAUAAUUUUAAUUUAUGGGGUCAAAUCUUUUUGCCUGUUGCAAAUAUAUCGAAGCCAAAAGGUGCUUCCAGACUUUUUUUCUGACAUGAAGCUGUGAGUUUUAAGCCACGUAAAUCCAUCAACUGCAAAUUAAGGUAAGCUUUUGUACACAUGGACAAAAUUUACUCUUGAUUUUUGUCCCGAAUAGUACUUGUUGAGGCCUCCGUUUGAACUGUAAAUUGCUAUGUUUUUUUGUAUGGAAGGACCUCUUGGGAUGGCAGAAAAGAGGACUCAUAUUAGGUUUUAUGCCUUUUGUGGGCCUCAUCUCAUACACUCUCUCAGCUACAAUUGGUAAAUAUUGCAUUUGAGAACCGGGUACCUCCUCGAAUGACAGAGUGUCACAUACAAUGUACUAUAAUCAGGACUCACUUUACUUUUAACAGAGUUAUCUCCCUUUAUUUAUUAUGUGGCAGAAUUUGGAUUGUUUUAAAUAAGUAUUUUUAUUUCAAUGUAUAUAAAUUACAUGUCCUUUGUACAACGAAAUGAUAUUUUGUAAAGUUCAACAAGAUUGGCUCAGUAAAUACAGAUUAAGUAGAAUUACAUAACAUUACAAUAAGCUUUGUGAGUUUUUCUUAUAUUAUCAAUGAUAUUAAGAUGUAUGUUACUUCUCUACAUUAGCUGUCGGUACAGUAGCGGCCAUCACACCGUUCACAUCCACCACAAUGAAUCUAUUGUACAUUUAUGUUUGCUAAUUCAUAAGAGUUUAAAAGGACAUUAACUCUUAUGAGGAUGCAUCAACAAUACUUGUAUAAAACAACAUCAUUUUGAACCUGUAUUACUAUAGAAAUAACAUGUUUUGGCUUGAAUUGAUAUUUUGACCAUUAUGUUUCAACUCUCCCAAGAUAAUGUAGAUAAAGUAUAAAAAGAAAAAAAUCCCCACAACCAGUCUUAAGUACUUUCAUCUCGUCAAGGAGAUUCUUCAGAAUAUAUAUACACAAUAGUUUAGAAGACUGAUCCCAAUUAUCUUUAGCCCAUAUAAACAUUGAAUUUUAUUUGGAUAUAUUCCUGUUUGUGUGUUGUUAUAUAGAAUCAUGAAUUUGUGAAGUCUCAUAAAUUUGUGAAGUCUCUCUUUAGAAUAGUCCUCAAUUACAGUAGUACCCUUACUAAGCUAUCUAGUAGAAGUUUUACAACAGUAGAUAGGAUUAUGUUAAACGUACACUGUAUUAUAUUAUAAGGAUAUUCAAAAACAAAUUAAUGAAUGUGUUCUGUUUAUAUAUACAGCUGUUGAAGCUUAUUAUGUUAUAGUUUUACACGUAUGUUUCCUUUUUCUGUGUUUGUUUAUUGUGUUUGGUGCUCAGUGAAACCUGACAGUGAAAUUGUGGUUAAAGUUUUAGUGUUCUACCUGUUACAGGUGUGGUCAAUGUUCUACCUGUGACAGGUGUGGUCAAUGUUCUACCUGUGACAGGUGUGGUCAAUGUUCUACUUGUGACAGGUGUGGUAAAUGUUCUUCCUGUGACAGGUGUGGCCAAUGUUCUACCUGUUACAGGUGUGGCCAAUGUUUUACCUGUGACAGGUGUGGUUUAUGUUCUACCUGUGACAUGUGUGGCCAAUUUUUCUACCUGUUACAGGUGUGGUUUGUGUUCUACCUGUGACAGGUGUAGUCAAUGUUUUACCUGUGACAGGUGUGGUUAAUGUUCUACCUGUGACAGGUGUAGGUCAAUGUUUUACCUGUGACAGGUGUGGUUAAUGUUCUACCUGUGACAGGUGUAGGUCAAUGUUUUACCUGUGACAGGUGUGGUUAAUGUUCUACCUGUGACAUGUGUGGCCAAUUUUCUACCUGUUACAGGUGUGGUUUGUGUUCUUCCUGUGGCAGGUGUGGUUUGUGUUCUACCUGUGAUAGGUGUGGUCAAUGUUCUACCUGUGACAGGUGUGGCCAAUUUUCUACCUGUUACAGGUAUGGUUUGUUUUCUUCCUGUGACAGGUGUGGCCAAUGUUCUACCUGUGACAGGUGUGGCCAAUGUUCUACCUGUGACAGGUGAGGUAAAAUAUUUAAUGUUCAACAUGUGCCAGGUAUGGUCAAUUUUCUACCUGUGACAGGUGUGGUUUGUGUUCUACCCCUUGACAGAUGUGAUCAAUUUUCUACCUUUGACAGGUGAGGUAAAAUAUUUAGUGUUCUACCUGUGACAGGUGAGAUAAAAAUCAAUAAUUUUCUUUCUGGGAUAUAUUUCCAUAUCCAUGACAAGGAGUGUCUUAUUUGUGUAGGAUUGUAUUAUAAAUAUGUACACUAAACCUGUUCCUUCAUUUUGUAAUUAUGGAUAAGAUAGCAGACCAUCCAGUUGUGUAAUUUCUGAUAGUUAGAUUAUCUGACAAGGAUCUCCAGUCUUCUGAUAAAGUAGACAGAUCUACAAUAUUGAUAUGUGUUGUACUGAUUGAAGCAAACUGAUAUUACUUGAAUUUAUAAUCUGAUAUGUUCACACAGAUGUAUCAGACUGAAGUGACCCCUGUCAUUAAUAACCCCUGUUGUCAGUGACCCGAGUAGGAACUAAGGUCAUUUGAUUGACAGUGUGUCAGUUUAGCCAGGUCCUGGUCAUUCAGAGCUUUACCAGUGAUUAACACGAGUUUUCAGAAAGUUAUUUUUGAGCGCAGUCAAACUCUACAAAUAUGUUUGAGUUUGAUGUCAAAAUACAAAAUAGGAUACUCCUGAUCAGUCCUUAUUUAUAUAAAUUCAGUUUUGAAUUUCAAUAUUUUUAAAGAUAUACUGGUUUAAAAGUUAAAAAAUUGUUGUGAAUUUUUUUAAGGUGAUUAGCGUUGAACCACUGGGCCAAGGUCUUUUGGGAUGACAAAAUCAGAUGUAAUAUUACAGAAUGAAGCUAAACUCCGGUUUCAGUAAGGACAGGUAUCGGUAAAGACAGGUUUCAGUAAAUCUGUGAUGAUAUGAGGUGUCAGUUUAAUCAGGUGUUUGUAAAAUCAUGGAGUUCACUGGUUUGUGAAUAUAUAACAUUGAAGCAUUAUCCUUUUUACCAGCUUUAAAAAAUAUUUUCUCGACCAAAUUUCAUUGAUAAACUAUUUUCCUGUCACUUUUAUUGACAAUUAUUUGGAGUCUACUUUUACAUACAUGUAUGUGAUGGUGUUUUUGAGAAACUGUACCUAUGUGGUAACAAUGCUUUGUAUAAAGUUUUUUAAGAAGAAAAAUAUUGUGAAAAUGAAUUGACUAAUUGACAAAAUCUGUUUAUACUCGAGUGACAACAAAUUUAAAGAAAAAUGUACUUCAUCCAUACAUAUAACUUAUAUAAUGUGAUAGGUGUCUUGCAGACAAGGAAGAUAUUAUAUAUAUAUAAAUUCAUGUAGAUAGUUAUCAGCACUGUACUGUUAAUGGUACCUGUUAAGUCUAUAUAGCAUGAUAGUUUGUUGCAUUCAGAGGAAUAUGUGUUGUUAUACCUAUUUAUAUAUUUACAUCAUUCCAAUUGACAGCCCCAAGCUUUAGAGGUGCUCAGACUGUUAACUCAUUCACCCCUGAAAACACAUUUGAACUCUUCCAAUUCAAUGGUUGGAAAAGUUCAUUAUGAAAUUGUAGGGGUGAAUGAGAUAAUUCACUCAUUCGUCCCUAAAAUUUGAAAAUGAACUAUUCCAAUCUAUUUCUACCUUCAUUGUAAAGUCAGAGGCAUAUGAGAAACAGGCUUACAUUAGGUCAAGUUCAAUUUAUUAUAAUGUCUGGUUUAGUCAAAUGUCUCGGUCAAUCUAAACACAUUUAAACAAGGAAGAAACAUCUGAUCUGCUGUUAUUAAUUCUGUUAAAUAGAUAGAACAUUUACAAAAAUAUGAUUUACAAUAAUUACCACUUUACUCUCAAUUAUCUAGAACUUUGACCUCCAUAGAUAGGACAUUUCUGGAUUACUGUAAAAAUAGCGCUCUUAUGGUAUGUGUUUAUUGUAAAAAAAUCAAAAUCAAAUCCUUACAUGCAUAUCUUGUUCAUCUUAAAAUCACACUUAUAUUUGUGUGGGAGACUGCAUCAGGCUUUGUUGAUAUACAGUGUUUGUAGUGUGUGUCUAUAUUGAGAUUCAGCAGGAGGUGAUAUGUAGUCAUUGCCCUGUGACUUAUGAGAUUCCUUCAUCACAAUAAGAAUAUCCGGCUGAUCGUUUUAAAAAAGAUUAUCUUGACCCGAGUAGCUUUCUGAAAUGAUGACGUGCAAGUUUCUAUUUUAUUUUACCUGAAGUUAUGGCAAUACCUAUGCAAUACCAUGUGUUUCUUUAUUACAUUUUUUGUCAACUGUCGCUUUACUUCUUAUAAAGAACAUGCAGAGAAAAACUAAAUCGAGUUGACCAUUUGGAUUAAAAUCGAUUUGCAAAAUUGAGUUUGGUCAUUGACAAAAUUUCAUACAACAUUUUCCAUAUUUACAUGAUAUGAGAUGUUAGCAUGAAUUGUAAUGAGGGCAUAUCUGAAGUUUGUUGCCAGCCGUAUACUUGAGUUAAAACACACAUACUGUUUAAGUGCUAAGCUUACAUAUAAACCAUUAUAUCUGUAACGUUAUUAAAUAUAGAAAAGGAGUUAUAUGUAUUUUUCAUGUUAAAUAUAUUCUAUAUCAUACCAAAUAAAUGCUGCAUAUAUAUCGUU